UACGGGGGGGGGCUAGCGUUGUUCGGAAUUACUGGGCGUAAAGGGCGCGUAGGCGGCCUACUAAGUCGGACGUGAAAUCCCUCGGCUCAACCGGGGAACUGCGUCCGAUACUGGUGGGCUCGAAUCCGGGAGAGGGAUGCGGAAUUCCAGGUGUAGCGGUGAAAUGCGUAGAUAUCUGGAGGAACACCGGUGGCGAAGGCGGCAUCCUGGACCGACACGUGACGCUGAGGAGCGAAGGCCAGGGGA
rnacentral:rRNA from 1 species